CACGCCGUGACCCCUGGCUGACCUUUGACCUUCUGCCUUUUACCACUGGACUUUUCCCAGUCGACACCAAGCUGCUGACUUUGGAGACGUGAACUUUGACCCGUAUGUCCUUCACACACAGACACAUUUUAUGCAAACGAAGUGAACUGAGCCGGGCCGAGCAGUGCUUUAGGACGCAUCCAACUGAACACUUGCACCAGCUGAAGCAGAACUGCAGGGAUGGCUCAGGAGCCAAUCCCAGCCGUGUAUUCAGGUCACAUGAUCUCUGCAGACCAGGACAGAAGCACUGAAUGACCUCUUCACCUUCAUGGAAAAAUCUAUUUAAAUCUUAUCUGUCAGUUUAAAGUCCGCAGGUCACCAGACCUUCAUGUCUUUGGAAGUGGGAGGAGCCAGAGCACCCGGAGGGACCGGGCGGGGCAAGAACCCGGACCAGGCAAUCAGAAGCUCACAGACACCUGAAUCAGCUCAGCAGCUGCUGGGUGAGAUGGAAAGCAUGCAGGUUCCAGAGGACCAGGACUGGGUUUGAGAACCGCUGGCCCUUAUUUAAAAACAAAUCUUACUCUAUGUUUUUAUUUUUCCUCUGAUGAUGCCUUUUUAAAUUUUCUAUUUUUAUUCAUUAAUUUAGGUUUUUCUUUUAUUUUAUUUUUUUGCAUGGGGGGGGAGUGCGGUGUUGAUGAAAUUUAAGUGCUGUGAAAACGUCUAAAAAUUCACUAACAAUUAAAAUUAAAACAAAGAACAGAUUGAUGAGCUGAAGUGGCUCCGGACAACUAAGCAGUCAUGCUGAAAGCUUUAGGAGACCAACAGAACCUGUCUGAUAGGUGGAGUCAGCUGAGGGGUCUGACCAAUAACAAUUCUUAAAAAAAAAACAACAAAAAAAACACCCCGCGGUUUAGUCAGUAAAUCUUGCAAACUCCAUGUCCGGAGUAAGAAGACCACAGUCCCUAGUUUGGAGUUAUUGUGAAGUUCCUUGUGCUCAGUCCAGAACACUGACCUCGGUCCUCAACCUUGUGACGGGGCUGUGCCUGACAUCACUCGGGUCCUCCCGUGUCUGGUGGGAUGAAGCUAUGAGUCGUACUGGUGGUGGACCUGUACCAGCUGAGUGGGGUUGGGUUCAUCGCGCUGCACAAGAUCAGACCUGGAAAGGAGCCGCUGAGCUCGGUUCUUGUCUGUAGGAGCAGCUCAUCUCAUUGGACCGGAGUUCUUUGGUUCUAAAGUUCGCACACUCGUGAAACCUCGUCUGUCUCCCUGGUAUAGAGUCAGUGCAGCACCUGCUUCAGGCCACUGGGGGGAGCGCUUCAUGUCAGGGGAGUUGUCGCUACUGCUGUGCUGCAUAUCGAUGUGGACGUCUGCUCGUCUUUACAGUUGGUCACUAGGGGCGGCACCAGGACCUUCAUUUAUCAACCGUUCAUACACACAGAUUUGUGCGACAUUACCAGCUUGUGUGUGAACUUAGAAAUGUGUGUAAAUAUGCACACAGCUCUGACCGUGCGUAUGCAAAGCAACUAGUGGUCGAACGGGGAAACUGCAGCUGUAAUGUAUUGCUGCAUUCACAGUGCAACUUCAUCCACAUACAAUCUUUAUUUCCUGAUGUGCGUACAAAUGGCGUAUGCCUGUUUGAUGCUUUUUGUACUUGGAGACAUGCAACAUUUUGUUAGUUACAACAGCAUUUGACGUGUUUCGGCUGUUAGCGUAGCGUUUUAUUGCUUUGCUGAAAUUCAUUGGUUCCCUGUGUUUGAUGCAAAUGUUGAACUACUCGACUACUUCGACGUUAUUUUGUCACGGUUCACGUGCAUCGUGCAGCACAGAAUGUGUGUGUGAGUUGGUGCACUGCAGCAGUAAAAACAGACCUUCACUCUGCAACAUGUUUUGUCCUUUGGGAGCCACCAUAGUGUACUUUUUCCACUUGUCCAAAAUGACAUAACACGCAUUCAGUAAAUUACUUAUUAAUCAAAACAGAGACUACUGCAAUAAAAAAGGCACAAACUGUAUAAUUUAAUUGAUCAUGGUCUUAAGUUCUCAAGUGAUUUUUAUUUUAUUUUUUAUUUUUUUUAAGCAGAUUUUAAUUUUAUCUUGAAAUUUUUUUUCUUUUCACAUUAUGGAAUAUGUGAUGUUUUAUUUUAUAGUAGUCCAUGGGCCAAGCAGGAUUUCAGCACCAGUUAUGGUGGCAAAGCAACGCUUACAAUCCAGCCUCAGUGUACCAUGGUGACUUGCACAUAGAGGUAUGGUGGCCAUCCAGGGUGGCAGCUGUAGCCAAAUAGGGGUUAAAAUUUAAAAAUGCUCUAUUCAUAGUGUAAGCUAUCCUACAUUAUUCAAAAGAGAUUAAAAAAAAAAGUAUCGUUUGGACUAUCUGACUGAACGCUAUGCUAACAGUGUUUUAAGAAGGAAUAGUUUACACCAUCUGACACUUUAUGUAUGUCACAGAAUCCAAUGGGAGUCAACCUUGUUUGACCUUUGCUUUAGAGACACUGUCAAAAUGAUUCAAUUUAUUAAUCCUAUUAUUUCGGCCAAUAAUUGUCAUCACUUUUUUUUUUUUUUUUGUUACCAAAAUUGGAGCAGCUUUAACUUUUGGUCCUUGCAGAAACUGAAGCUGAUUUUUGUUGCCAUGUUUCCUGUGUUUCCUCUGUAACUCAAUAAUAUUCAGUCAUAGAUAGUCCAAACUAUACCUUUUUGGAAUCUUUAUGAUCAGAGCAGUAAUGUGAUGUACUUUCUCAAUAUGAUUGGAGCAUUUUUAAAUGUUGACCUCUACCUGGCUACUGCUGGUACCCUGGAUGGCCACCGUACAUGUUACUGUAGUUCAUGGUACAAUGAGGCUGGAUUGUGUCAUUUGCUCCACUUAAGUGGUACCAGUUAGGUUAAAAUUGACUCCUGGCUCAUGGACUAUAAAGCCUUCCAAAGCUUUAACUCAUUAUCACCUCAAUAAUGUGCUGAUGUAAAAAAAAAAAAAAAACUCACUCACUAGCUGUCAUGUGGAGGCUUUAAUGCUACAGACUGCAACGUGAUUAAAAAAAAUUUUUUGUUUGCUUUUUUUUUUUUUUUUUUUGCUCAUCUGGACUAAAUAUGUUAAUGAAUUCAAGAAGGUUUGUAAAGUGCUGUGAAAAACAUUUAGGCACUCUACAGGUUAUUUUGUUUUUGUUUUUUUAUGUUUUUGGCAUGUCAGCAGUUCCAAACUUAAUUUUCAAAUGAAUGAUGAAAAACUUUAUUUUCUUGUUAUUUUUUCUGUCUGUUACAUCACAGUAUAAGUAAAAUGCAAUUUUCUAAAUUUAAGUUAAAUUUCGGACAGUUAACAUUUUUUUUUCCCGUUAUGUGCUUUAAAAAUUUUUUUUUUUUUUUUUGUGCGUGUGUGUGUGGAAAUUGACUUUGCUCAUGAACCACUGUUUAAAAAAGUAACUUAUCUAAAAACUACUUUACGACAGUAUUAUGUCCAAAAUGGAAAAAUAAUUCACUUUAUUUCAAAGGGGAAAGCUGUGCUGUUACAGUUUAUAAAAUAACCAAACACACAUUUAAGGUGCCCCAAAAUUUUAUCUGGAAAAAUUAACGUUAGAAUUUUCUGACACUUAAAUUUCUUAUAAAUUGGAUUAAAGCAACCUUGCGUUUUCACUCCACUGUUCUGACUUUUAGCCUAUGAGUCAGUUUUGUGCGUUGACUUUAGCUGACCUGGUUCAGGUGGAUUAGAUGGAUCAUUUGGUUCUGUGGGUCUCCUGGUUCAGAACAACUAAUAUACAAACAAGAAAAACUAUAGCAAUAAUUAGUCCAACAGGUCUUUAGUCCUGGUUUUGUUUUUCUACACUUGUACACUCAUUUAAUGUUGUUGUUGUUGUUGAUAAACAUGGAUUAUGCUUUUGUUUAUGAAAGCAUGUUUUCUAAAUAUCUGACAAAUUGCCUUUUAUUACAUUUAAUUUCAAAGAAAAUUAACAAAAUGCGUCGGCCAGAAAAAUGGGUGACGCUGUUGUUGGAUGACUUUAUUUUAUAUUUGUAAAAACAUAUGUACACACACAAAAAACACUAUUUUAACAGCAUUUGUUUUUUUUAUGGAGGGCUAAUCUUACAUUUCAUUAAAGAUGUUUUUGUAAAUAAUGGUGUAAGGUGAUAAAGGAUGUACACUGAUUAUUUUCCUGUUAAUUCAGUGAUUAAAAAAUGUUUUGCACCG